AUUCUUCACUCUACACCUGUUGGGGGUUGAGCAGUUCUCACUUGCCAGAUUCACUUGCCAUAGCCACUGCUUGAUACACAGAUACGGUCAACAGGUCUUGCGUCCUAUCACAGCGUGUGUCCUGUCUUGUCCUCGCUUCGCACUCCACUUGUUGCAACUGUCAUCUCGCGACUCACAAGCAACUGAGAAAUAAAGUGGAAGUCGAAUCUGGAUUAUCCUUUGAAUGAUGGUCUUGACCGUGAGUCCGCUGGCACUGAACGUGUGUAUGGUGCUGCUCUACACGCUACUCUGCGCAACCGCGCUGCCUCUUGGCAGUAGCUACAGAGUUGCGACAGCGGCGGUCGGCCGCGACGGCACGUAUCGCGAUCCACCAAUUGGUCGCGAUCCGACUUACCGCGAUCCUCUCGCAAUAAAUCGCGAGAGCGAUGAGUCACGUGCGCUUUCUGCUGCAGUCGUGGCAGCUAACGAGCCUACUUGUGAACAAUUGCGUGUUAUGUGGCGUUUCUCGAAGCGUCAGAGUCGCGCGGCCGAAAUCACCAACGAGCUGCCCACUUACCGCGAUCCGCUCGCCUACAAUGUGUGGGACGCGUAUGCAACCUAUCGUGAUCCGCUGUCAUAUGCAAGAACCCGGAGUGGAGGCGGCAGGCGACGAGCCAUGGUGUUUGGGCGGGUCGUACAUGAUGCUCGCGGUACGGUGCCAUCUUCCUACGAAGCACUGCUUGCCGCUUCGCCCGAUCGACUACGUGCUUUCCAAGAGGUAACUCGAUUGUAUGGUGGUGACCAGAGUAACGAUGGUCGUGCUGCGUCUCCACCCGCUCCGCCUACUCCAACGCGGAAAACAUUGUUCCGUGGAGCUUCCGCUCAGCCGAUGCCUGUCUCCAGCGGACAGUUCCAACAUCUCAAGGAGCUCAUCCGUUCAGAACGAGCUCGCGAGCUGCUUGAACAACGCAUGAAGGAGGAAGCUGUGGCGAGGGCUGAAGCUCUUAAGGAUAUUGUCAACCAGGUGCAUUUCGGUCGUAUUGUGCAGCACCAGAAGGGUCAAUUGGAGCAGGCAGUAGCUGACCGCGCUGCUAUCUCUGAGCAGCAGCAGCAUCCGAUUGGUCAAAUCCACAGCAUUCGCUCACAGCUGAUGCACAAACGCACACCCCGCUACCCCUUCAUCAUCGACUACUACGACGAUCUACAGGAUGAGGAAGAUAUUGAUGAUGAAAUCGAUCCGUACGGAGAAACGUGGGCCUGGUGACGUGCUUGAGAGAAGACCCCGACUAGCUCAGCGAGAGGAGACCCCUGCCCACAACCACCGAGAAGCCUCCCUCUGAGAAGUGACAAGUCGGAGUCAUCCCUUGCUAACACUUACAACGUUGUAAAUAAGAUUUAUUCCAUGGGAUUGAACCAUGUGGCGUCUUUAGACUGGGCGGAUCGACCACCCAAUUGUCAUAAGUGUGAGGACAUAAAUGUUCGUUCGUUCCUGUUUAUUAACUAACGACUGUGUGUCUCUAUUAUUUUAGUCACAAAAAUUAGAAUUCAAUCAUGUUAUAGUUAUUCGUUUGGGAAGCUGCCAGUUCUAGACUGGUUAAGUGUCUGAAAUUUUGUUCCCGCAAAUUUAUUAGAAUAUCAAUGUCUAUUUUCAAUGUUUAUUUAGAAUUCUGAAAGUUCGAAUUCUCUUAUUUUUAUAAGUGAUUGCAUGCAUUUGUGUCACAUGUCUACUAUUCUUCUUUCAAUAUUACACUUACUUAAAAGAAUAUAAUUUUAACAGUUACGAAAGAUUGCAUAAUUAUGCAUUCCUGUAUAGUUUCGGCCGUUUACUAGUUUUUAGUCAAGUAUUAUUAUAAAUAUUUUUGUGAUAGCGUUUUAUGAGGGCUCCUCACCCUAGGUCUCAUUCCACUGUGGAAUCUUCUUGUGCAUCUGCCCCAUCCCUCUCAUAUCAUUCUGUAUAUCAUAUCGCUAUAAUACUGCAGUGUUACUUUAUCUCAUGACACUGAAAAAGUUAUGUAUAACAAAGAGUUUGAUAGGGGAGAAUGUAUCCUCUUUGGCAUUUGAAACCCUGAUCAAGCAAACAAUCCAACAAUUAUUUAGUGCUACAACUGUUUACUCCUUUUGUAUUCAUCAUGAACAGCGGAAGUUCAUCAGUUGCGGUAAUAGAUUGAUCUGUUGAUACUACCAAUAUGAAAACUUGGAAAAUAUUGCUAUUUUCUAUAGAUGUAUCAAAUUGUCUUCCAAUUUGAAUUUUUUUAGAAUGACGAUAUUAUCAUAUCACUGAUAAAUCAAAUACAAUUAAAUAAGCAAAGCCUCCUCAUUAGAUUUCCUGAUGUUGUAUAUGAGCCUUCAAUUAUCUGGUGUUACUUGUAUGGAUAUUCUCUAUAUUAGUCGUGAGCAAUCUCGACAACGUUGUGAACAUUGAAUUAUUUGAAUUUCAAAAUUCUGUGAAUGAAACUGAAUCUAUCAAAUAGGAUAUAUCAACAUCCCCAAAAGUGUUAAUUUUAAAUAAAGAAUGAUAAGUCGUUGGAAAAAGCCUUAUCUUACAUGGAAAUUAUUUAAACUUAUAAACAGGUAUUCUUCAAAGAGAUCUGAAGAGUCAAUGAAUCUAUCAGAAUUUUUGAAGUUCUCUUCUUAACAUAAAUCUCGAUUGAAUCUUGUCUUCAGUCGAAAUGAAUAUUCCGUGACUUUAUUCCAAAACGCAAUGAUAAUCAGAAAUAAUUCAUACUUUAAAUGUUUUUGAAUACAGAACCUACUAUUAUAGAAGCUGGCCCUCUCCUACACUUUACCAACCAAUACAAUACAAUAUCAAGUUAUUUUGAGUUACAAACUCAUACAAAACAUUACGAGAAUCGAUGAGUAUGUUGAUGAAUGAAGACGUUCCAAUAAUAAAAAUAACUUUUUGAGGAACAGAAUGUUAUUUUUCAAUGAUUUUAUAAUCAUACUGACUCAAAACAUUAAUAGUCCUCAAUAACUUUAUUAGAUACAAUUAAUGACGCUUGAAAUAUUGUAACACUGCACCUAGACAUAUCUAAUUACUAUUGAAUAUCGUAUUCAUCAUCCAGCUUCUCUCAACCCAAGUCCCAGAAUUAUGCCUUAAUCCUUCCGCUUGGAAUAUUGUAUUAUCAAAAAAGCUUAGAUUUAUUACUACGGAAUUGAUAAUUAUAGAGGUUGAAUCUUUGAACAUGUUGCUAAAACCUCCAACUGUUAAUCGCGGAAAUACAUGAAUACGAGGUAUGUGAGAAUGGUAUCGUCAGUAGAAGGUAGAGUUCAAUUAGGAACAUUUUUAACAUUAAACUGAAGCAUUUGUUCCACUUUGAGUGAGUGAGGAUUUCUAAUAACAUAUCGGGAAUUUGAGACUUAUGAGAAAGCACUGUUGUUUCAAAAUAUUAACGUAAUCUAACUUAGAAUAAUCUUUAACCCAUACCGGUACCAUAUCACAGAAUUUAUUACAAUACAGUUUCAUUAUUUACAAAAGUUUAUUUUUUUAUCAUGAUAACGUAUUUUAAGAAGCAGAAGUUCGUAUAAAAUCAAAGUAAUUUAUUCAAAAUAUAGCUCUUGCGUUACUAAUUAGACCAUAGAUCAAUACUUUUGAAUCUAUUUCAUUUUUUUGGAAUCUGCCUGAUAAUGUAGUUAGCAAUCAUAACACUCCUCUUCCACUUCAAUUCAAGAAGAAAACUCAGAAUGUUUGGGAACUACACGCAUAUAAAUUUUACAUAACUUUUAAACCCAUUUUAAUUGAUUAGUUUAUUCACAACGAGAAGCAAAUAUCACAAUGAACAGUAUAAGAAGAACUUGUGUAACUAAAAUGUAUUCUUUGGAUAUUCAAUUGUUAGCCCAAAUUCUAAUAAGUACAUCUACUAAAUGGUGUUGUUGAAAUUUGUUGAUGAGUUUAAAAGUGGUCAUCUCAUUCUGUGCUUCAAUUCAAAUUAAUCCAACGAAUUGAUACUCUUCAGUUUGAUAAAUAUGAUUUCAUGCAUAGAAAUGUGUUAACCUAUGACAGAACAUUCCAAUUGUUCCCUAGUAACUGAUCUAUCUGAGAAUAUUAUAUGCGAGUCGAUAAUUAGUCAUCGUUCCAAAUAAUUCAUAAAAUAAUUUCAAUUGGAACGAAAAUAGAAAUUAAAACAUUCGAUUUGUAAAACAAAACACAAUCAAUAGUAUAUAAUCACCAAUUUCACUCUGUACUUUUCAUACUUUUUACUACAUGUAACUCAACCAAUUUUUUCGCGAGAAUAUGAUAGAAUUUAUUGUGUCUUUUUUAGAAUGCAAUUUUUGGUUAGCAAAAAUAUACAGUGAUGGUGGAAUCUGAAACUGCACAAUGAACAAUGAACAAACACCUAUAGCUCUCAGCUGUAUGACAUUUCUAAUUCCACUCCUGAAAAAUGAGGUGAAUGGAGUAAAGAAUAUAUUAACGAUUCUCAUUUCAAGGGAGAAUGAAAAAGACUGUCAAGUGGAUGAAUGUAUUCUCACUCACUAAGAAACAUUCAUCCCUUUUUGUAUUGUCACUGAGAGAAACAUUUUCGUUCUAAAUCUUCGAUCACUUUUGUAAAUUCACCAUGCCGUAAUAUUCGCGUCAUUAAAAUAUAGGUCGUGAUUCAAUUGGGAGAAUUCAAGGACAUUUGAAAACUUCAUUCUACAUAUCUUGGAAUGGAAAGGUGAUAUGAUUUUCAAUUGUGUAGAAGAAGAUAAUAUUUUAAAUUGCUGCUAUACUACUCAUUCGAGAACGUCAAUUUCCCAUAAGUCACGCAUCAUAUAUUUCAGAUAAGGCACAAAUUAUUAUUUUCUUGCUGAAAAUUUUGAGAAAUUUAGGAGUAGGAUUUAGAAAUUCAGAGUAGGAUUGAUUAUAGCAUAUCUUGGUAGCUUUUUUAUUAAUGGUGACUCGUUAACAAAAUCAAUUAUAUUUCUGACAAUAGUAGAUUAUAACGCACGAUAAUUAAAAUAGCUUACUUUAAUUCCGUUUAAGCUCCACUCAGGGCAUGAUGAAUUUACAAAGUGACAGAGAAAUUAAAACAAAAAUGUUUAUUCCAGACGUUGGGUAAGUGAGAAUACAUUUAUCAGAUUAAUAGUCUUUUUAAUAAAAUUUCCCUUGAAUUGAGAAUCGCUAACUCUCUACUUUAUUCACUUCCCUUUUCAAAGGAGGAAUAAGAGGUGUCAGACAGCUGAAAGCUAUACGUUGUUCGUGCAUUGCGCAGUUUCAUAUUACCUUGCUUUGAUACUGGAAAGCUUAGAAAAUAAUUGAGUCCAGCACGAGAGCAGAUUAUCCCCUAUGUGAAACUCUUUAUAUAAUAAAUUUCAUUUUAUUUGUCGGAUGAGAAAAUGAACUGACACCUUUUUUGCAACACAUUUUUAAUUUUCCAUGCUUGGAAUCAUUCAUUCGUGAUCAUUCUAUUCACUCUUCAGUUUCGAAAAAUUUUCUGAAAGUUCUUUGACGUUCAAGUAAUAGAUGUGAAUAAUGCAGAAUUGAAAUUCUGUUUCGUAUUUUACUUUCCAGAGAUAGCGAAAUUCAGACUUUUUUGACAAUGUUUUUAGAAUCGAGGUUAUAAUUUUCCUUUGCAAUAUUGGUCUGUUCAUUAGUCCUCUGCGUAGCAUUAGAAUAAUUUUAUUCAAUCUACUUCACAGAACCAUUCACGAUAUAGUUCAGUAAAGUUUAAUUUUAAAAUUGUGGUUCCCAGCUGAUUCGGACAGGCCAAGUUUAAUAAAACUUAAUAUUUUUAUUACAUUGAAUGAACUCAAUUUCUACGUGUAAUUUUCAAACAAAUCCGAUUAUCCAAAGAAUACAUUUCACUUGAUAUACUUUUGAGUUCGAGAGACUCUCCAAAUAGAUUAAGGACAGGGUAUGUUACGAAGAACAAUAUUGGUAUUAUUACAAAUUUUAUCAAUUUUGAGCUUUUCAGUUCGUUACAGAUUUCUCUAAGACUGAAUGAACUUAUUCAUGAACAUCAUCUCAUUAUCUGGAAAAAAAUACUAGUUUAAUUUAGCUGAAAAACCAAUCACACUCAAUAGAAUAACACUUCAUUCUUGGAUAUAAUUUCCUAUAUCAAUACAUUUCUGAAUGUUUGAUUACUUUGUCAAUCGAGUUGCUGCUAAUCCUAGUUUAAAGUUUUGAGUUUUCAUAAUUCCAAAUUCAUUCAUGGAUAUAUAAUCGGAAAACUCUACAAAGACAAUAUCACAACUUUAGUGAUAGAUUGAGUAUCCAUGACAAGAGAAUCCAUGUCUCAAUCACAAAAAAAUUAAGCUAUGCUAGAUAGUCGGAAAGAAAAUCAUAGAAACAAUAAUCAUUAAGAAGAGGGCCAAAUCGUUGAAGCAAUUUUUAUUUUGAAUAUAUUGCAUUCACCAAUGAUACAUGAAAUUAUACGAGACUUAUCCAAUUGUUCAAUUCUUCUCGUACUGUCAAAAAUGUUAUGCAACUGGCCUCAAUUCAAGAAUGGAUAUUAUAGAAAAGCAAGAUAGCCUCAAAUUUGUAUAUGCGGGAGAGAGAAUAAAAGCUGUAUUUACAGUUCAUGAAGAAAAGGUAUCUAUUGUUCUCUUUCCAGUACCAUUCUAACAUAGUAUGCCAAGAGUUCAUCAAAUCUAUCGAAUUAUAUCAUUCAUUAUUGAUUCCGAUGCUAAAUUUAUUUUUGAAUUUACUCAAUUGGUAAUAUUCUAUGAAUAAAAUCAGCCUUUCUAUGGCUUCAUAAUCGACUACCAAAUAAAGCCUACAUUAUCAAACCUUCAACAUUAUGAUUAAAUAUCAUUUUCAGUGAACUAAUUUUCUUGGAAAUGAGAAUAACAAAAUUAGAUCCAAAAUUUAGAUUGGAGAUGGGAAAUCAAAGUUGUCAAUAACAACGACAUAUUGUCAUCUGUAAUAAUUGUCUUUGACCGCUUGUUACCUUGAAAUAAAACAUCUGAAAGACGAUUAAGAAGUUAGUGGAGAUGAAAUCAGAAAACCGAAAAAAAUUGUGAUAUUUCAACUAGAAAUAAUUUCAGGGAACCCUAGCUUACUUCUUGUCUUGUUUUAUGCAGAAUUUAUAAUUAACAUAUCAUUUGAGUUGUCUCUUAUCAUCUGGAGCAUUAUAGCUGUGAAUAAUUGUUUACGCCUGCCAAGGAAAGAAACCUUAUGAUAGUUACCAUCUUAGAUUAAGGAUUUUGUAUUAGAAAAUUGUAGAAGAGUGGAUGAGUUUGAGGUGAACAGAUAGAAUUCGAAGAAACUUUUCAACCGCCAAAUUAUGAAACCAAACAGUAUUAUUGCCAGUCUCUUGUCAAUUCAGUAACUUAAAAGACUAAAUAAAGUUAGUCGACUUGAGCAGCUAAAGCUGCUGAAGGAAAACAUGAUGAUCAUUAUACACAACAAACAGUAUGAGUCGAUAUAUUUCUAUUCCUGUUGUUGAAUUAUAAUGUGUAAAUAUUCAUGCUCAAAGGUAUCGGAUAGUAUAAUAUAUUGUACUUUAUUAGAAGAAUAGAGUAAGAGAAUGAAUAAGAAUUUGCUUUAAGGAAAGUAUGGAGUAUGAUUGGCCUACAUUUUAAACUUUAGGAUUUAAACAAUAUGUUCAAUCAGAUGAUACAAAAUAGUAUGUUUUUGAGGACGAAGUUUUAGGUUAGAAUGGGCUAGCAGUAAUUACAUGUAUAUAGAAGGAAGAUAGGCUGCUGUUCAAGAUGGAAAUUCGUCUAAUUAUUUUAUGAAACGAAAGACUUAUACUAAUACUAUUUAUAAAACUUACUGAACGAUUUCCGACACUGGUCCAUGUAUUUUUAUUCAUUAUAUGUUGAGUGAACAGAAAAAAAUUAGAGCAACUAUACUAUCUUGUACUGAACAUAGAAAGGAAUUUGAUUUACAAUAUAAUCCACCAGUGUAUUUUUAUUCAUUAUAUGUUGAGUGAACAGAAAAAAAUUAGAGCAACUAUACUAUCUUGUACUGAACAUAGAAAGGAAUUUGAUUUAGAAUAUUAUCCACCAGUGGAUUAUCCUCAUUAUCUGAUACGUUAUCUUAAAAAAUGUAUAAAUGAGAAACAUGAGCUUAUAAAAACAACAGUGUCAUCCUGAGAAUGCCAUAGGUACAAUGUCAUUGUGGAACCUUUCUUCAGAGUUCAGUGUCCCUUCGAAAGUAUUUUUCGAUAUUGAUUCCUGUACAAAACUAAUAUUGAAUGCCAUAAUUUAAAAUUUCUAUUCACACUUUUCUCAGAGUAGCAGCCAUUUUUUAUGUUGUAAUGUUCCAGAGUAUUCCAUUGUGGAGUGAAUAUUCAAAUGAUUAGGUCUAGAAUGAUUUGAAUCAUGUACUUUGGAAUCUGAAAUUUAAUUUUUCUUGAAAAAAAAAAUUCAACAAUAUUGGUCGGAACAUUUUCACUUGAAAAUAAGUGUUUGUAUCGAAUAAAUGUUCUGCAUUGAGAGUUUUCAAGCUCUUCUUAGAAAAAUGUCACAUUGCUUACUUUAAUCGCUUCAUAACUAUCAAGCUGUCAAAAAUUAAUUUUCUUUCAUCACAGACUAACCUGUUGUCCGAUCUUUGUCGAGAAAUAAUAGCAGGAUCAACAAAAAGCUGAGGCGUACUUCUAUAAUAUUUAUAUGUUAAUUUUCUUUUUCUCGGAAAUAACGUAUAAUGUAGGUACUUUAAUGAAAAUGUACUCAACAUUUUCCAUCAAGAACCUUUCUUUGAAAAAUCAGCUUCUAGAAUAAACUAUCAAUAAUCUGAAUAUCCAAUUACUGUAUCUUCAAUCAUAAGCCACUGAUUUUUUGAAAACAUAAUUGAAAGUGUUCGUGUUGUAUACUUGUGAUAGAGAUAUGAUUACUUGUGAUAUUCAUUGGAGCAUGAAAAUUCUCAAUUCAUUGUCCUUGAUAAGUUCAACAUUAUUCAUCUCAUUUCUAAAAUCAAUUCUCCAUAAUUGUAUGUUUUGUUAAAUUGAGAAUAACAUAAUUAUUAUAACUUCAUUUCCCGCGUCUACUUUAGAACGUUAUAAGAGAAUAGCUCUUGAUAUCACCGAAUAUUUAAAGCCUUGUUCUUCCAUUUGGAAUACCACUUAUUAGAGUUUGCCUUAUUCAAAGUAUUAUGUUAAUUAUCUAUUAAGUUGAAAUCAGAAAAAUAUGCCAGCUUCACAUCUAUGUCGACCUUUUUAAUUUGAAGGGUUGAACUCUAACUCUAUUGCAAUAAAUAUAUGUUAAUUCUUCAAAUGAGAUUGUUUGAGGAAACAGAUAUGAAUAAGAAAAGUCAAAUUGGGAAUAAAAAACACAAUUUACACAUUAGAGACAAUGCUAUAGAAUCUAUGACUUUAAAAAUAUUACAUUUGAAUGAUUUGAAUUUUAUUUUCCUUCUAUUUAUCACUUUGCGAUAUGUAUUUGAUCAAACCCCAAAUAUCUCCAAAAUAUAAUGAUCAUUAUUUUUAUUUGGUAAUAUUUUUCGAUGAAUUACGCGAAACAUUGCUAUUCAGCUGUACAAAGCAUUUGAAAGUUUAUGAAAAUAUUAUAGGUGUAGAAUUUUAUCUGUGAGUAAAUCACCAAAUCAGAAUUGAAUUGAAUUUAAACAUUUCCAAUUGAGAUUGUCCACCGCGAUGUUAGGAACAUUCUCAAAGCUUCUCGAUCUAGAUGCUACUAAGUAACCAAAAUAGUAUACAAUUCAGAGAGAAAACAUUCCUUAUCAUUUCUAUCAGUUGACAUAUAGCCUAGCAUCUAAAUUAAAAUCUUUUGGGUGGGUCAUUACAGAAUUGAUAAAAAAUAAUUUAAUCGAAUUUUCAGGAUAAAUUCAUCAAGUUUCACCUUCCGUCGAAUAAGAAACUUGAUUUCUCAUAAUAUGAAUUCCAGAGAGAUCUAUUCUACUUCCUUCACCAGCCUUUGAUGCUCAUCAACCACGAGUUAUUCUGCAUGUCAUUAAUUAUGCGCAUUCUUGGUCUUCCUUUCAAUCUUCCUUUUUCUGGAUUGAUUUUGUAUAUUAAUUUAUUGUUAAUUCUGUGCAGCUCUUCAUUUCCCAACCAACUGAGACUCCAUUUUAGUUACAAUGUACGGCUUGUUGUGAGCUCUUGUAACUCUUGGUUAGUAAGAACCCUUCACUCACCGUCACUACAGAUAGUUCCAAGAAUUUUACGAAUUGUCUUUCUCACCUAGAUAUUGGGUGAGUUUUUGUCCCUCUGAAUCUGUGUCCAGAUUUUUGCACCGUAUAGUACACCUAGUCUUAUGACUAGCUGAAAGUUUAGCUUUGAUAUACACCUGCACUUUGCUUUGUACCUGUGUGUCAUCACAGCUCCUACAGCUCCUCAUACUGGUAUUCCUCAACCUUCUUGAACAGCUGUCCCUAAUCACAAUCCUCUUUUCAUUCCCUUGAUCAUUCUCCCCAUUAUUAUGCAUGCAUGUAUUUUGAAACAGUCGUGUUGAUUUCAAGUUAUGUUUUCCUAGAUGCAUUACUUGGUCAAUUCCUCCCUAUAGGGGAAAUAGGUUCAUAUAAUGAUAUGUAUUGUCGUGUCCUAUUGAUGAUAGUUUAAUUUGGGUUGAGACAGCCAAACUCCGUAUAAACUUCUCCAGACUAAUAUUCAAUAGCAUGGGUGAUAACAUAUAUCUUUGUCUUAGUCCAUAACAUGUCGUGAAACAGCUGGACAGACUUUCUUUCGGAUCUUCACUCGGAACUUAGUACCUUUCAAUAUCAUUCCCCUUAACAUUGCUAGUUUACAAUAUAUCCCAACUCCAUCAUAGUUAACAACUACUGUCUGCCCCUUUUCACCAGAUGAUUGUUUAUAAUCAAUGUACUAUUGCAUAUCCAUAUUAUACCCAAAUGAUAUUUGAUUUCAAUAUUUUUAAAUAUUAUUGCCCGUAAUAAUAUUUAAAAAUUUUAUCUAUAGUGAAGAUAAAAUGAUAUGUGUAAGUGGCAAAUUGGUACAGAUUUGACCUGAAUUCACGUUGAUAGUUUCCUAAGAUUCCUCCCAUGUAGGGCUCAUGAGCAACAUUCAGUAGGGUAUGUCUAUAUAACUUGAUCAGUCAUUCUAGGAAUAUCAAUUUUAGAAAAAUUUAUUCCUUUUAAAAAUAAUCACUCAAAUUGGGUUAUUUCUAUAAAAUUGAGUGAAUCUCCUUGGACUUGAUAAUUUGAGAAAUAAUAUCAUUCGGAAAACAAUAUCUUGUAUCCUUAGAACCUUCCGAAUUUUCUAACAAUUCUGAAAUUACUCACCCUAAAUAUUUCAAUCUUGAGCACUGACGUAUCUUAGAAUGUGAAAUUUAUGGAACAAAAAUCUUAAAAAUUAUUGUUCCUAAUUAGCAGCUUGGUUGUAUCCAAAUCGAAAUAAUUUAAAAACGUCACCAGAAGAAUUUUCCAAAAAGGCCAAUACACAACCUCAACCAAAAUGGUCUCAAAAUUCGACAAAACUACUUUACUUUCCCACUCGGUAAUAACUUUUCAAAAAUCAAAAUAUUCGAAGUUAUAUGGAUAAUAAAAAAUUAAUUUAUCAAAACCGGGACUUUAAGGUGUACCGGUAUCUAAAAACAUUCAGAUCUAUUCAAAGUUUCCAGUAUUUUUCAAUUUCCACAAUAUUAACUUCAAAGCAGCUAUAAUAUUAUGGUACUCACUCGCACAAUUCCCAAUUUUCAGCUAGUGAUUCAGUUUUCCAAAAUCAAUUUCAACUAAUUGUUAGAGCAAACGUAAUUGGUAUCUUCCAUUGAAACCGGUGACAAUACUCUGAAUCUAAAAUGUUUUAUAAUAACUUUUAACGGCUAGGAUAUGAAAUCAUUCGACUAUAACACUAAUCUCUACAUUCUAUUAUAAAUGUAGUUUUAUAUAAGGAGAUAAUAAGAACUUAAGACAAUAAUUUUACGUAGUGUAAGCUUCCAUCGAGACGUUCAUAAAGUCAAAUCAUAUAAACCGUGAGAACAUAAUUCUAGAUCGAAACUGUUCCCAGAGAAAAUAAGAUGACGAUGGGAAGGAGUAGAAAAUAAUAGUGGAGGAGUAACGAUAAAUGGAUAGUAAAGAUAUGAAAGAUAGUAAUAAAAUCAAAAUCAAUGAUUGAAUAAGCAAAUAUGAAAGAAUCGUAAUUAUUGUAAGAUAGAAGACUCAUAUCUGUUGAUCUAUUUUUAUCAAGAAUCAAUGUGAAAAUGUGAAAGUGAAUUUUCGAUUGAUCAUCAUGGAAACAUCUGGAUGUAGUAGGUGUAAUUGAAGGAACGAAGUUACGGACAAAGAAGAGAAUGGAAAUGGAAAUUUGGUGAAUGGUUAUUGGAGUGAGAGUAAUGGAUAGGAGAAUAGCGAAGAGGAUGUUAGAACAGCAAAAAAAAAACAGUUUUAUUGUUAGAUAAGAAUCCACACUACUCUAAUACAAGCCAAUGUUCAUUGGUUAGAGUUGUUGGAUCCGUCAAUUCCUAUACAAAAGUGUCGGCUACUUUCAAGUGAGAUUAAUUCCUAUGAAUCAUAUAAAGUUUCCUUGUCGUUUCUUCGUAGUUUCUAACCUCUCACAAAAUGUUUGUUAGCUCCACCUCAAUCCAAGAGCUUGAUAUAGCCUACUCCCAAUCAGAUAACUGCUCUUAUUUGAGAGCUCAAGAUAGGAGUACUGAGGAGUAUCUAAUCCCCUAUCCUGCUAAUCAACGGCAUGCAUUAAUAUUUUUUAGUAUUAAAACAAAUAUUAUUAUUAUCAUCAUCAUCAUUAUAUCAUCUCCCUCUGUCUUCCUUCUCAUUAAAAUAAAGAAAAAUAUAUAUAUAUAUUUAUAUAUUCAUAACAGAGCGCUGGCUUCUUCUGCCUCAUCACUGGAAUGGGAAAGAAGGUAUAAUGUACUAACACAAUAAAUAAAUCAUAUCGUACUCAUAUCGUAGGAUAAUAAGACUCAAAACAUGGAAUGUAAUAAUAAUAAUCAACGAAUGACGUGAUGUAGUCUAAGGAAAGUGAUGUAACUUAUUGAGAGUAAAGUGAAGUGCUGCCAAGUGAUGAGGAGUGGAAAGCAAUCAUGUAAAAGAUUUGUGAGGUCAGGUUUGGUCCAUGUGUAAAGGAGCGAUACUCAUAUAUAUUUUUCAAAACAUAUUCUGAAUGUGUAACCUUGAAUAUCAAACCUAUCUGACCAUGCCUUACAACACAAUCAUAAUCCCAAGCGUUUGGUUCUUUAUAUGAAACUCUGAAUUGUAAUUUACAUUAACGUUGAAAAUUAGAUUCAGACAUUUAUUUUUAAUGCAAAUUAAUAAAUAUAUGAAUGUAUAUAGAUGUA
rnacentral:misc_RNA from 1 species